AAUCAACGCUGGCGGCGUGCCUCAGACAUGCAAGUCGAACGCGAAAUUUCCCUUCGGGAGAAAGUAGAGUGGCGCACGGGUGAGUAACACGUAGGUAAUUUGCCUUUGGGUGGGGAAUAACUCAGGGAAACGUUGAGCUAAUACCGCAUAAUGCAGCGGCUCGACAUCGAGACAGUUGUUAAAGCGGGGGAUUGGAGCAAUCCGACCUCGCGCCUAAAGAGAAGCCUGCGGCAGAUUAGCUAGUUGGUAAGGUAAUGGCUUACCAAGGCGACGAUC
rnacentral:rRNA from 1 species